CUGUCUUUAAAUCUCAAUUGGACUGGCAGUGUUUACCCAGCCACUCCAUUCAGACUGACCCAAUUAACUAUUUCUCUUCUUACACGUUUCCAGUGGAGCCCCAUCACCCCUUCCAACAUUCUCAUGGCCAAAUAUGAGAGCGUAUCCCUCCUCCCAUACAUCUCUUUGCUUGGCACUUGAUGGUGUAGUGUAGUCUACAUUAGCCUCUCAAGCCAGGUUCACCUUUGCGUUCAGGCCACCGACCUCAGAGAAAGAUCCAUUUCUCUCACUCUGCUAACUAUAUUAGUUACUAUGCUAACCAUAUUAGGUAGGGUUACGAUUGCUUUGCUGAAACACCAAGGCCAAAUGCAACUUGAGGAGGAAACGAUUUGUUUUGUUUACACUUCUACAUUGAAGGUUCAUCUUUGGUGGAAGUUGAGACCAGGAACCUGGAGACGGGAGCUGGUGCAGAGGCCAUGGAGGGGUGCUUCUUACUGGAUUGUUCCUCAUGGCUUGCUCAGCCUAGGACUGCCAACUCAGGGAUGGCAUCACUCACAGUGGGCUGGGCACAUCAAUCAGCAGUGUGAGGGGAUUGUUCUUUGUCACACAGGGGCGUGGGUGACAUAAUGUGUGUAUUUGCUAGUGGUGCAUGCCAAACUUUGUUACUUUUAUGGCCUCUGAUAUAUGGAAACUUUGCCUCCAAUAGAACUGCAAACAAACAAACAAAAACACACUUGAUUGGAAGAGGGACAUGGGUGUGGAUGUAGAUGUAGAAAGAGCAAGGGCAUCAGAAUGGUAACAGGGCUUCCUGUAUUAAAAGGAACGUGGACUAAGCAGCCAAUGCACCAGCCACUUUGACAUUAUUUUAACUCUCCAUUUCUUAGUACUGACUCCCCCUUGCCCACUUGUAGUUUACCAUGGAAACACAUUCUUAGGUGAGUAACAGGGCUCCUCUCCUCAGACUGGAAGACACCCAGAAAUGACUUCUUUAAUGCCAGGGGUUUGAGUAUUUUGUUGUUGUUUUUUGACUGUUUAUUUGAAUGCUCGCUACUUCUGGCUGUUCCUCAAAACAUGUGAGAAGUCACUCAUGCUGAAGCAUCUCUGCUCAGAGAGUGGGCCCAGGAAGGUAAGGACCUUGUGAUAAUGAGAAUCAGCCAGCAAAUUCUUCAUGGGGCGUGUCGUAGUUGGCCAAGUGUUGGGAGCUAACCCUUCCUGGGUGAUGAGAUAGCGUUGAAUUAUGGCUCAAUCUUUGCUUCCCAGCCAGCAUUCUCUCACUGGAGAUGGCUACAUGGAUUACCUCAUAGUCACUAGGGUGGUUUGAAAGGAACUGGGCUGGUAGGUUUGUAGAGAGGGCAUUAUUAGGAGGUAUGGCCUUGUUGGAGUGGGUGUCUUAUUGGAGUGGGUGUGGCCUUGUUGGCAUAGGUGUGGCCUCGUUGGAGAAAGUGUGUCCCUAGGGACUGGGCUUUGAGGUCUCUGAAGCGCAAAGCAGGCCUGGUGGCUUAUAUAUUCUUUUUCCUGCUGCCUCUGAAUGGUUUAGAUCGAUACUCAGCUAUCUCUCCAGCACUGUGUCUGCCUGACCGCAACCACGUCUCCUGCCAUGAUGAUAGUGAGCUGAAAAAUGAACUCUGAAACUCUAAGUCAGCCUCAAUGAAAUGUUUUCCUUUACAAGAGCAGCCGUGGUCACGGUGUCUCCUCCCAGCAAUGAACGGUAACUAAGGUGGGCACUGAGACAGUCCCUUGGCAGGAGACAGGCAUUGGUAAGUACUGAAGUACACAGCCAGGACAGGAACUAUGACCGGUAAGUUCUAUAGUUAUGCCACUGCUGGGAAAUCCUCUGCUUCCUUUUAUCUGAGCCCCUAGCAUUGCCAGCAUGCACUCUGGUAUCUGGGUUUAUGGAGCCUUGGGCUAUUUUUAAAGUUUAAGCUUGUUGACUUUAAUGUACUAUCUGCCCUUGAGGGUACGAACCAUCAUUAAAACAUUUUUUAGUUAAUAUUUUGAGACUAUCAUAUAGACAUACAAUAUUUUUUACUACAUUUAUCCCCAUUUCUACUCCCAACUCAUUCAAGACUCAUUUCUACCCUUUUCCAACUUUGUUUUUGUCUCUCCCCCGCCCCCACAUCUCUCUUAUCUCACCUAAUCCAGUGUAUUCUGCCUUUAGAUUCAUGGCCAUCCACUGUGAGUGCUUGAACUACCAGGGGCCACACCCUUAAGGAAAACCUACUUUUCCUCCUGGAGGAGCCAUCAACUAGAUCCUUAUCUACAUAACCAGACCUCUGCAUUCCUGGGUUCUGUACCCAUUCGUGUAAACAACUGUGGAUUGAACACAUUAAAGGAAGAGGCUGUGUCUGUCCUGAAUGUGGAUAGACUUUCUAUUAUCAAUUGUUCCUCCAACAAGAAUAGUAUAAAACCAUUCACGUUGCAUACAGCAUGAAGAUCCUGAAACCAUCUUUUCGCCUUUGAGCUGAUGCACAUAAUUCAAACGUCGGCUGCCUAGAGGAGAAGCUUCUGUUCUGGGGGAAUUAUUGAGAGUGGAACUUGGAGAACCAUCUCUGUGUGUGACGCAUUCAUCAUAAAUGAGCUGGGAGCUUCAGCUACGCAUCUCAGACCAGAAUAAAAAUGACCUCAUGUAAAUAGUAUGGAAUUUUUUUCCAAUGAAAAAAUGACCCAAUUUAGCAGUGCACAGUGAAGUUAGCUUCCAGUGCUCUCUGGUCUGUAUGAAUGGAUUGUUUUCCUGGGGAACUGAGCCACACUAAGGCUGUCAGAGGAACCACUGGGAACUGCAGUGCUUGGAUUAAAUGGGGUAUCGGCCACAACCUGGUUGCUUGAAUCCCACUGAGAAGGACAACAAUCUUCCCAGGCAAGACUUAGCAAUGAAAAUAAACAAGCCUAUGCCAUCAACUACGUCUAUCAGAAAGAAUGGCCAACUUCAUGUUUCUUCAAUGCCAUCUCUGUUUUCUUUGAAAUUUCCUAGUGGGCUACGAAAAUUAUUAUUUCAAAUCCUUGUGAUGUUUUCUUUAGCUCUAAGGCAGUUGUGAAAGAAAACGGGGAGUCUGUGGCUCUUUUCCAAAGUCCAUGUUCUAUUUAACCCAGAGAACAGACAUAACCCACGAGUUCUCGUUAUGAAUCAAAGGCUAUCAUUCCUUCGAAACGGGUGACUUAGCAGACCCAAGUCAGAAGAUUUGUGCUGAUAGGAAGGGCAAGAAUGUACUAAGAGGAAUUUAUUUUUUUAAAAAAAAAAUCCGCUGCUAAUGUCAAGCUUGAACAAUGUGGGAUUUAACAGUACCAUCUAGUGGUGAUGUACCGCCAUCCUUGUGUUAAGUGAGGACCGUGGUUCAUUUGUGCCUGAGACUCAUGCAUCCAGUCAAUAGCUUAUCACACACACUGACUGUAAACUCAGAAGCAGAAAGGCCAUCUUUUAUUGCUCUAGGGAAUGAAGUGAGUUGAUAUAAGGAACAUACAGGAGACACCUGCAACUCAUAAGAUAUAAUAUUAAAGUUUCAAUGCUUCCAGGGCUCAGCAUAGUCUGUAACAGGCUCUCAAUAAACUAUUUUUAAAUAUCAAGUAAAGUGCUAUAGCAAUUAGUUCUGGAUUCAUCCAUAAAAGUCUGGUUACUGUGUUCUUGUGUUCUUUCUUUCUUCCUUCCUUCCUUCCUUUCUUCCUUCCUUUCUUUCUCUCUUUCUUUCCCCCUGUUACUAUGAAAAAUUGUUCACUGUGUAUUUCUUUCAGUAAAUGUAAGCCCCCCCAAUAAACUUUUGGCAUGGUGUGUAUUGCUGAGAAGUGAUGGCCUUUAGUGGGUAAGGAGGCUGGAUGGGAGCUUUAUGCGGAGGGCCUGAGCUGGGGCUAAAACCCAGGCCUUCACAGUGUCAGGUAGGCAGUGCUCAACUUCCCUCUGUGCUCAGGAAUGUUUUUAAGGGAACAAGUCGUUGCUCACAAGACAACCUGAGGGUAAAGGUGGUAGAGUUAGAGGUGAUUUGGGAC